GAAUUUCCGGUGUAGCGGUGAAAUGCGUAGAUAUCGGAAGGAACACCAGUGGCGAAGGCGGCUUCCUGGUCCGACACCGACGUUCAGGCACGAAAGCGUGGGGAGCAAACAGGAUUAGAUACCCUGGUAGUCCACGCCAUAAACGAU
rnacentral:rRNA from 1 species